UAAACUAAACAAACACCAAAAGAAAAUAAUAUUUCUUCUUUGUUUUAUGCGGUGAUGAAAAUGACGCUCGAUUUCGUGGUUUACAAGGUGUUAUUACCCCUUAAAUCUAACUGGACAAACAUCACCCGAUUCACAUCUCUCAAUAUAAACCUAAUAUACACUCUUGGCACGUUCAGAAAAAGGGAAAUUACCCUGUUGCAACCAUCCACCAAUAGAUGGCUAUUGUAAGGUUAAGGGUGUGAUUAUAUUGGCUUAUUGGAGGUUUAAGUUUGGUUUGUACGUAAAACAGCAAGACUAACCCGUGACAUGAACAUAGACAAAAAGUAUGUAUUGAAUAAUUAAAAGAACUAAUUUGAGCAGCCGUCGGACCCGUUUCUGAGCCGAAAUCGGACUCAGCUCCGUCCGAGUCGGAGCGGAUUCGGACCGAGGUCGGACUUGUUUGCUUGAAGGGAAGGCACAAAUCGGCCCAUUCAACUCGACCCUCAUGUAACCAUAUAAAGUACGAAGUCUGAACAAUGGUUGGUCGGUGUCAGUCCAUAGACUAUAAUUUAUGUCACAUCAAUUUGGAAAUUCAACAUGGUAGGUUUUAAGUUGUUAUGCUUCCAGCUGGAUUUUUCAUCGAUGGAUAUCGUCACAAGUGGGUCUAGCGGCAGUUCAACAGGCGUCCGCAACAAAACGAACUACAAACUUCAUCAAUUAAAAUAUAAAAAUCAAAGUAUUUAAACGUAAAGUGUAAAUGUUAAUUACAACAUACUUGUGGCGUUUUUAAUUGGCAAUCUGGAAUAAAAAAAAAACAAUCUGAAUGCGUUCAAUUGGGCAACACUGACAGUUCUGAUUCUGAAAAAAAAGAGAAUUUCUCUUCUGGUCUUAAAAACAGAAUCAGAAGCAUAUCAAAUCAUAGAUUUAAAUGUCAGAUGUCAAACUUGACCAAAAAAACAAAAACAAAUGAAAUUUGGUGCGAAUACACAUAUAUAUGACACAUUUCAAACUCAACCAAUACAUUUACACCAAACUUCAGAUUCUUCGGAAUAAAAAAAAAACUGUUCAAUUGGGAUUCCGAAUCGAAGAACAAUUCCGGAUUGCCAAUUAAAAACGCCAUUAAGGUUUUGACAGCCCAGCCCAUUGAAAUUGUUGUUGUAAACAAAUUUGUCUUGGAAAUUGUUGUUGCUUUUGACUUUGUUAAAUGCCAAACGUCAAAACCUUAUAACCCCAUUUUGUAAGAUGGCGGCUCUAAUGAUCAUACCUUGUCUUUUUAUACCAUGGGUUUUAAUAGUCCGAUGAACUACAUUGUGUAGUAGCAAACAUUAGGUUCUCUUGUUCACAAGCUCCAGCAAAGACGUUUUAUAUUUUUUCCUGGUACGCUGUUCGCGCUAAAUUUUAGCCGAGAUAAAAUUCCCAUACAAGUUAUCGAUAAUUUGUAUGGGAUCCAUUUUAGCUCAGAUAAAAUUUUUCGAUAAUUUGUUUUGGAGCUAAAAUUUAGCGCGAGCAGCGUACCAGGCUUUUGCAGAUGAACUAAUGGCGUUUUUAAUUGGCAAUCCGGAAUUGUUCUUCGAUUCGGAAUCCCAAUUGAACAGUUUUUUUUUUAUUCCGAAGAAUCUGAAGUUUGGUGCGAAUGUAUUGAUUGAGUUUAAAAUGUGCAACAUAUAUGUGUAUUCGCGCCACAUUUCUUUUGUUUUUGGUCAAGUGUGACAUCUCAAAUUUAAAUCUAUGAAUGUGUUAUUGAUUCUGCCUCUGAUUCUGUUUUUAAAACCAGAAGAGAAAUUCUCUUUUUUUCAGAAUCAGAACUGUCAGUUUUGCCCAAUUGAACGCUUUCAGAUUGCUUUUUUUUGCUUCCAGAUUGCCAAUUAAAAACGCCAUAACUAAAUUUUAAUCUGAAAACGACAGAGGUUAAAUAAAUUUUUUUUUCA